GGUCACCAUCUGUUGCGGAAGGAUUAAAAUAACAAACAGCCGCCCUCAUGUUGGAUGGAUCUUCAGAGUCCAAGUACCUGGUGAUAUAUGUUAAUGAAAUACGGAACCAAAUUGAGUCUGUUGAGCUGUUUGCAGCAACAACUCCAAUAUCCAAAGAAGCUCCAACCACUGGCCGUCCUAACUUGGUCACGAACGCUCCAAACUCAGCUUGCUCACCAACAUUUAACUUCCUUCCAAGGUUGUUCGUCAACCCAAUUUGAAUUCCAUGCUCUGGCUCCACUGCUACCAAUGUUCUGUUGCAUUGGGCGUAUGUUAAACUACGGUGCAACAAGAAUAAAUAAUAGUAGUUUUCAAAUGAUAACAAACUCAUGAUCAGCAGAUGUUUCGGCCUGUAACUUGGUUGAUAGUAACCUGAUGAUGAACGAGGUUACUGUCUGGAUAUACUAACUUAUGAUCAAUAAAUGUUAUUUAAAAGAUUUCCUUUUACGUCAGACUUUCUAUGUUGCCAUUUUUACUGUUAUCAAUUACCUUUUUUUCUUGCCAUCUUCCAUGUAAAUAACCAACCGGUGAUUUAUGUCAACAAUGGUGCUCUGGAAUCUCAAAUCAGUAAUUCCCCCAUACACGUUAUACCAGGCCCCAUCGUUCAGUUUAAUUGGUUCAAUACUUAAUGGAGUUAUACAAUCAAGGUUUUCUGCUCUGGAUUUGAAGAAGUAUUAAUAAAUAAAAGAAAUAUAUUA